CACAGCCCUGGAUACAAUUUACACCCACCAGCAUAACAGGUUCACCCAAAUACUUUAAGUUGGAAGUACAAUGCGAUAUGCAGUAUAUCAUUAAAGAAGCCAGCAGUUGAUUGGUUUAAUUACAUGACAAGCAAUAAUUUACACUAGUGACUUAUCUGAUUAAAUUGACACUUAAACCACCAUAAAGACCUACGCUCUUUGUACAUUGCAUCUGAUGGUUUCACUCACAAAAC